GCCUCCGCUCACACCCACUGCUGGCACCUAGCGCUGGCCCCGAUCACUUGGUGCCAUCAGUGGGUGUGAGUGGUGGCUG
rfam:Myotis brandtii contig177281, whole genome shotgun sequence.